CACGUUAUCAUUCUUGUUAGUUCUAAGUGAAUUCCCUCGGUAUGAUAAUUUGUUCAUCAGUUUGUUCCCCGUUUCUUCUCUAGCCUGAGCCUGACACACUAUUCUAGCUAGACAUGGGUGUGGCUCGUAACACCUGAUGACCAAACGGAUCUACGACACCAUCGAAUCUCAAACUUUAACUACCAAAACUAUUGUUUUUCAUCCUCUAGUCCCUUUUAGAAUUACUAAACGUCCUUUUUUGGGCCGAGAUUUCCAGGAACGCUUUCUCGGGGUUUGUGUGCAUGUAUUUCAAACCAUACAGACCUAAAAAUUAGAAGUCAUUCCAUCUUUAUUCCCGUAGAGCCUUCCAGCAGUUCCUAAACCGCUCCAGUCGGAGCAUGUUAUCAUUCUUGUUUGUUCUGAGUGAAUUCCCUCGGUAUGAUAAUUCUAUCAUCAGUUUGUUCCCCGUUUCUUCUCUAGCCUGAGCCUGGCAAACUAUUCNNNNNNNNNNNNNNNNNNNNNNNNNNNNNNNNNNNNNNNNNNNNNNNNNNNNNNNNNNNNNNNNNNNNNNNNNNNNNNNNNNNNNNNNNNNNNNNNNNNNNNNNNNNNNNNNNNNNNNNNNNNNNNNNNNNNNNNNCUAAACCGCUCUAGUCGGAGCACGUUAUCAUUCUUGUUAGUUCUGAGUGAAUUCCCUCGGUAUGAUAAUUCUUUCAUCAGUUUGUUCCCUGUUUCUUCUCUAGCCUGAGCCUGACACACUAUUCUAGCUAGACAUGGGUGUGGCUCGUAACACCUAAUGACCAAACGGAUCGACGGCACCAUCGAAUCUCAAACUUUAACUGCCAAAACUAUUGUUUUUCAUCCUGUUGUCCCAUUUAGAAUUACUAAACGUCCUUUUUUGGGCCGAGAUUUAGAGGAACGCUUUCUCGGGGUUUGUGUGCAAGUAUUUCAAACCAUACGGACCUAAAAAUUAGAAGUCAUUCCAUCUUUAUUCCCCUAGAGCCUUCCAGCAGUUCCUAAACCGCUCAAGUCAGAGCAUGUUAUCAUUCUUGUUAGUUCUGAGUGAAUUCCCUCGGUAUGAUAAUUCUUUCAUCAGUUUGUUCCCUGUUUCUUCUCUAGCCUGAGCCUGACACACUAUUCUAGCUAGACAUGGGUGUGGCUCGUAACACCUGAUGACCAAACGGAUCUACGACACCAUUGAAUCUCAAACUUUAACUACCAAAACUAUUAUUUUUCAUCCUGUAGUCCCUUUUAGAAUUACUAAACGUCCUUUUUUGGGCCGAGAUUUCCAAGAACGCUUUCUCGUGGUUUGUGUGCAAGUAUUUCAAACCAUACAGACCUAAAAAUUAGAAGUCAUUCCAUCUUUAUGCCCGUAGAGCCUUCCAGCAGUUCCUAAACCGCUCCAGUCGGAGCACGUUAUCAUUCUUAUUAGUUCUGAGUGAAUUCCCUCAGUAUGAUAAUUCUUUCAUAAGUUUGUUCCCCAUUUCUUCUCUAGCCUGAGCCUGGCACACUAUUCUAGCUAGACAUGGGUGUGGCUCAUAACACUUGUUGACUAAAUGGAUCGACGGCACCAUCGAAUCUCAAACUUUAACUGCCAAAACUAUUGUUUUUCAUCCUGUAGUCCCAUUUAGAAUUAUUAAACGUCCUUUUUUGGGCCGAUAUUUAGAGUAAUGCUUUCUCGGGGUUUGUCUGCAAGUAUUUCAAACCAUACGGACCUAAAAAUUAGAAGUCAUUCCAUCUUUAUUCCCCUAGAGCCUUCCAGCAGUUCCUAAACCGCUCUAGUCGGAGCACGUUAUCAUUCUUGUUAGUUCUGAGUGAAUUCCCUCAGUAUGAUAAUUCUUUCAUCUGUUUGUUCCCCGUUUCUUCUCUAGCCUGAGCCUGACACACUAUUCAAGCUAGACAUGGAUGUGGCUCGUAACACCUGAUGACCAAACGGAUCUACGGCACCAUCGAAUCCCAAACUUUAACUGCCAAAACUAUUGUUUUUCAUCCUGUAGUCCCUUUUAGAAUUACUAAACGUCCUUUUUUGGGCCGAGAUUUCCAGGAAUGCUUUCUCGGGGUUUGUGUGCAAGUAUUUCAAACCAUACAAAGCUAGAAAUUAGAAGUCAUUCCAUCUUUAUUAUCGUAGAGCCUUCCAGCAGUUCCUAAACCGGUCUAGUCGGAGCACGUUAUCAUUCUAGUUAGUUCUGAGUGAAUUCCCUCGGUAUGAUAAUUCUUUCAUCAGUUUGUUCCCCGUUUCUUCUCUAGCCUGAGCCUGACAAACUAUUCUAGCUAGACAUGCGUGUGGCUCGUAACACCUGAUGACCAAACGGAUCUAUAGCACCAUCGAAUCUCAAACUUUAACUGCCAAAACUAUUGUUUUCAUCCUGUAGUCCCUUUUAGAAUUACUAAACUUCCUUUUUUGGGCCGAGAUUUAGAGGAACGCUUUCUGGGGUUUGUGUGCAAGUAUUUCAAACCAUACAGACCUAAAAAUUAGAAGUCAUUCCAUCUUUAUUCCCCUAGAGCCUUCCAGCAGUUCCUAAACCGCUCUAGUCGGAGCACGUUAUCAUUAUUGUUAGUUCUGAGUGAAUUCCCUCGGUAUGAUAAUUCUUUCAUCAGUUUGUUCCCUGUUUCUUCUCUAUCCUGAGCCUGACACACUAUUCUAGCUAGACAUGGGUGUGGCUCGUAACACCUGAUGACUAAAUGGAUCGACGGCACCAUCGAAUCUCAAACUUUAACUGCCAAAACUAUUGUUUUUCAUCCUGUAGUCCCAUUUAGAAUUAGUAAACGUCCUUUUUUGGGCCGAGAUUUAGAGGAACGCUUUCUCGGGGUUUGUGUGCAAGUAUUUCAAACCAUACGGACCUAAAAAUUAGAAGUCAUUCCAUCUUUAUUCCCCUAGUCAUCAGGUAUACACUCAAGUCGGAGCACGUUAUCAUUCUUGUUAGUUCUGAGUGAAUUCCCUCGGUAUGAUAAUUCUUUCAUAAAUUUGUUCCCCGUUUCUUAUAUGGCCUGAGCCUGACACACUAUUCUAGCUAGACAUGGGUGUGGCUCGUAACACCUGAUGACCAAACGGAUCUACGGCACCAUCAAAUCUCAAACUUUAACUGCCAAAACUAUUCUUUUUCAUUCUGUAGUCCCUUCUAGAAUUACUAAACGUCCUUUUUUGGGCCGAGAUUUCCAGGAACGCUUUCUCGGGGUUUGUGUGCAUGUAUUUCAAACCAUACAGACCUAAAAAUUAUAAGUCAUUCCAUCUUUAUUCCCGUAGAGCCUUCCAGUAGUUCCUAAACCGCUCCAGUCGGAGCAUGUUAUCAUUCUUGUUAGUUCUAAGUGAAUUCCCUCGGUAUGAUAAUUCUUUCAUCAGUUUGUUCCCCGUUUCUUCUCUAGCCUGAGCCUGGCACACUAGUCUAGCUAGACAUGGGUGUGGCUCGUAACACCCGAUGACUAAAUGGAUCGACGGCACCAUCGAAUCUCAAACUUUAACUGCCAAAACUAUUGUUUUUCAUCCUGUAGUCCCAUUUAGAAUUACUAAACGUCCUUUUUUGGGCCGAGAUUUAGAGGAACGCUUUCUCGUGGUUUGUGUGCAAGAAUUUCAAACCAUACGGACCUAAAAAUUAGAAGUCAUUCCAUCUUUAUUCCCCUAGAGCCUUCCAGUAGUUCCUAAACCGCUCUAGUCGGAGCACGUUAUCAUUCUUGUUAGUUCUGAGAGAAUUCCCUCGGUAUGAUAAUUCUUUUAUCAGUUUGUUCCCCGUUUCUUCUCUAGCCUGAGCCCGACACACUAUUCUAGCUAGACAUGGGUGUGGCUCGUAACACCUGAUGACCAAACGGAUCUACGGCACCAUCGAAUCUCAAACUUUAACUGCCAAAACUAUUGUUUUUCAUCCUGUAGUCCCUUUUAGAAUUACUAAAUGUCCUUUUUUGGGCCGAGAUUUCCAGGAACGCUUUCUCAGGGUUUGUGUGCAAGUAAUUCAAACCAUACGGACCUAAAAAUUAGAAGUCAUUCCAUCUUUAUUCCCCUAGAGCCUUCCAGCAGUUCCUAAACCGCUCAAGUCAGUGCACGUUAUCAUUCUUGUUAGUUCUAAGUGAAUUCCCUCGGUAUGAUAAUUUGUUCAUCAGUUUGUUCCCCGUUUCUUCUCUAGCCUGAGCCUGACACACUAUUCUAGCUAGACAUGGGUGUGGCUCGUAACACCUGAUGACCAAACGGAUCUACGACACCAUCGAAUCUCAAACUUUAACUACCAAAACUAUUGUUUUUCAUCCUCUAGUCCCUUUUAGAAUUACUAAACGUCCUUUUUUGGGCCGAGAUUUCCAGGAACGCUUUCUCGGGGUUUGUGUGCAUGUAUUUCAAACCAUACAGACCUAAAAAUUAGAAGUCAUUCCAUCUUUAUUCCCGUAGAGCCUUCCAGCAGUUCCUAAACCGCUCCAGUCGGAGCAUGUUAUCAUUCUUGUUUGUUCUGAGUGAAUUCCCUCGGUAUGAUAAUUCUAUCAUCAGUUUGUUCCCCGUUUCUUCUCUAGCCUGAGCCUGGCAAACUAUUCUAGCUAGACAUGGGUGUGGCUCGUAACACCUGAUGACCAAACGGAUCUACGACACCAUCGAAUCUCAAACUUUAACUACCAAAACUAUUGUUUUUCAUUCUAUAGUCCCUUCUAGAAUUUCUAAACGUCCUUUUUUGGGCCGAGAUUUCCAGGAAUGCUUUCUCGGGGUUUGUGUGCAAGUAUUUCAAAUCAUACGGACCUAAAAAUUAGAAGUCAUUCCAUCUUUAUUCCCCUAGAGCCUUCCAGUAGUUCCUAAACCGCUCCAGUCGGAGCACGUUAUCAUUCUUGUUAGUUCAUAGUGAAUUCCCUCGGUAUGAUAAUUCUUUCAUCAGUUUGUUCCCCGUUUCUUCUCUAGCCUGAGCCUGGCACAGUAUUCUAGCUAGACAUGGGUGUGGUCGUAACACCUGAUGACUAAAUGGAUCGACGGCACCAUCGAAUCUCAAACUUUAACUGCCAAAACUAUUGUUUUUCAUCCUGUAAUCCCAUUUAGAAUUACUAAACGUCCUUUUUUGGGCCGAGAUUUAGAGGAACGCUUUGUUGGGGUUUGUGUGCAAGUAUUUCAAACCAUACGGACCUAAAAAUUAGAACUCAUUCCAUAUUUAUUCCCCUUGAGCCUUCCAGCAGUUCCUAAACCGCUCUAGUCGGAGCACGUUAUCAUUCUUGUUAGUUCUAAGAGAAUUCCCUCGGUAUGAUAAUUCUUUUAUCAGUUUGUUCCCCGUUUCUUCUCUAGACUGGGCCCGACACACUAUUCUAGCUAGACAUGGGUGUGGCUCGUAACACCUGAUGACCAAACGGAUCUACGGCACCAUCGAAUCUCAAACUUCAACUGCCAAAACUAUUGUUUUUCAUCCUGUAGUCCCUUUUAGAAUUACUAAACGUCCUUUUUUGGGCCGAGAUUUCCAGGAACGCUUUCUCGGGGUUUGUGUGCAAGUAUUUCAAACCAUACGGACCUAAAAAUUAGAAGUCAUUCCAUCUUUAUUCCCGUAGAGCCAUCCAGCAGUUCCUAAACCGCUCCAGUCGGAGCACGUUAUCAUUCUUGUUAGUUCUGAGUGAAUUCCCUCGGUAUGAUAAUUCUUUCAUCAGUUUGUUCCCCGUUUCUUCUCUAGCCUGAGCCUGACAAACUAUUAUAGCUAGACAUGGGUGUGGCUCGUAACACCUGAUGACCAAACGGAUCUAUGGCACCAUCGAAUCUCAAACUUUAACUGCCAAAACUAUUGUUUUUCAUCCUGUAGUCCCUUUUAGAAUUACUAAACGCCCUUCUUUGGGACGAGAUUUCCAGGAACGCUUUCUCGGGGUUUGUGUGAAAGUAAUUCAAACCAUACGGACCUAAAAAUUAGAAGUCAUUCCAUCUUUAUUCCCGUGGAGCCUUCCAGUAGUUCCUAAACCGCUCCAGUCGGAGCACGUUAUCAUUCUUGUUAGUUCUGAGUGAAUUCCCUCGGUAUGAUAAUUCUUUCAUCAGUUUGUUCCCUGUUUCUUCUCUAGCCUGAGCCUGGCACACUAUUCUAGCUAGACAUGGGUGUGGCUCGUAACACCUGAUGACUAAACUGAUCAAUGACACCAUCGAAUCUCAAACUUUAACUGCCAAAACUAUUGUUUUUCAUCCUGUAGUCCCAUUUAGAAUUACUAAACGUCCUUUUUUGGGCCGAGAUUUCCAGGAACGCUUACUCGGGGUUUGUGUGCAAGUAUUUCAAACCAUACUGACCUAAAAAUUAGAAGUCAAUCCAUCUUUAUUCCCCUAGAGCCUUCCAGCAGUUCCUAAACCGCUCCAGUCGGAGCACGUUAUCAUUCUUGUUAGUUCUGAGUGAAUUCCCUCGGUAUGAUAAUUCUUUCAUCAGUUUGUUCCUUGUUUCUUCUCUAGCCUGAACCUGACACACUAUUCUAGCUAGACAUGGGUGUGGCUCGUAACACCUGAUGACCAAACGGAUCUACGGCACCAUCGAAUCUCAAACUUUAACUGCCAAAACUAUUAUUUUUAAUCCUCUAGUCCCAUUUAGAAUUACUAAACGUCCUUUUUUGGGCCGAGAUUUAGAGGAACGCUUUCAUGCGGUUUGUGUGCAAGUAUUUCAAACCAUACGGACCUAAAAAUUAGAAGUCAUUCCAUCUUUAUUCCCCUAGAGCCUUCCAGCAGUUCCUAAACCGCUCCAGUCGGAGCAUGUUAUCAUUCUUGUUAGUUCUGAGUGAAUUCCCUCGGUAUGAUAAUUCUUUCAUCAGUUUGUGGCCCGUUUCUUCUCUAGCCUGAGCCUGACACACUAUUCUAGCUAGACGUGGGUGUGGCUCGUAACACCUGAUGACCAAACGGAUCUACGGCACCAUCGAAUCUCAAACUUUAAGUGCCAAAACUAUUAUUUUUAAUCCUGUAGUCCCAUUUAGAAUUAC
rnacentral:lncRNA from 1 species